rnacentral:rRNA from 1 species
ACUCCUACGGGAGGCAGCAGUGAGGAAUAUUGGUCAAUGGAGGCAACUCUGAACCAGCCAUGCCGCGUGCAGGAAGACUGCCCUAUGGGUUGUAAACUGCUUUUAUACAGGAAGAAACAGUCGUACGAGUACGACCUUGACGGUACUGUAAGAAUAAGCACCGGCUAACUCCGUGCCAGCAGCCGCGGUAAUACGGAGGGGUGCAAGCGUUAUCCGGAACCAUUGGGGUUUAAAGGGUCCGCAGGCGGUCAAUUAAGUCAGAGGUGAAAUCCCAUAGCUUAACUAUGGAACUGCCUUUGAUACUGGUUGACUUGAGUUAUACGGAAGUAGAUAGGAAUAAGUAGUGUAGCGGUGAAAUGCAUAGAUAUUACUUAGAAUACCGAUUGCGAAGGCAGUCUACUACGUGUAUACUGACGCUCAUGGACGAAAGCGUGGGGAGCGAACAGGAUUAGAUACCCUGGUAGGAUAGCG